rnacentral:lncRNA from 1 species
CCAUGUCGGUUUGGUGCGCCAUUUUGUCUUUUUUUUGCGUGGCGUGCGAGUGCCUGUGCAACGCGCGUGUGUGCUUUGGAGCUGCAGCCUCAACUCGAGUGCACGUGUAAAGGUUCACAGGACAGGUCUGAAAGGUCAACGUCAAUCAUAUUUGGCCGUGGAUAUCACUGCAACUUUGGCACUCGACCAAGCGAGGUACAUUGGACAGAUCAACCGGACCAAAAGGCGGGGUAAAGGAAAAGGCAGCGGAAUAGGACCAAGGGUGCUCAGCCUUAUCAAAGCGCUUUGAAUAAUAAAUGUGCAAGUAUUGAC